CAAUUAUCAAGAUCAUAGGUUAUCAUUAGCAUUUUACUUGGGAUCACCCUAAAUCAUGUAACGCCAGAGGAAAAUUCUCAAUGUCAGUGACCUUUCCCCCUGUCUUUGUCCUUGCUCUCUUCUCAAUUUGUUUGUUCUCUGAGGAGGAGGAUGCAAGAGAGCACAACCAUAUGAAAGUAAUACAAUAACACCACAUUAACAAAGAGCUAGAAAAAGAAAAUCUCGAAA